rnacentral:rRNA from 1 species
GAUGAACGCUGGCGGCGUGCCUAACACAUGCAAGUCGAACGGAAAGACACUGAGUUUGUGCGGUUCUCGGUUGCGGAAGGCGGGAGUGUCACGCGUGUAUCCCGCCCUUGUCUUUCGGGGAACAUCACGAAACUCGGGCUAAUAUAGGAUAGGAUCUCUUGCACCGUUGUGGGCGUUGGAAAGUUUCGGCUUUUGGGGCUGGACUCGCGGCUGCCGGACUAGCUAGUUGGGUGGGUAAUGGCCCAGCAAGGCGAGGAUGCGCAGCCGGACUGAGAGGGUGGUCGGCCACACUGGAACUGAGACACGGUCCAGACUCCUACGGGAGGCAGCAGUAGGGAAUAGUGGGCAAUGGGCGAAAGCCUGACGCAGCAACGCCGCGUGAGUGAUGAAGGCCUUCGGGUCGUAAAGCCCUGUUAUUGGGGAAGAAAAGCUGUGUGAGUAUACCCGGCUGUUGUGACGGUACCUAAUAAAAAAGCCACGGCUAACUACGUG